rnacentral:rRNA from 1 species
UCCUGGCUCAGGACGAACGCUGGCGGCGUGCCUAAUACAUGCAAGUCGAGCGGAGUUGAUGAGGUGCUUGCACCUCUGAUGCUUAGCGGCGGACGGGUGAGUAACACGUAGGUAACCUGCCCGACAGACCGGGAUAACAUUCGGAAACGAAUGCUAAUACCGGAUACGCGAUAUCCUCGCAUGGGGAAAUCGGGAAAGACGGAGCAAUCUGUCACUGUUGGAUGGACCUGCGGCGCAUUAGCUAGUUGGUGAGGUAACGGCUCACCAAGGCGACGAUGCGUAGCCGACCUGAGAGGGUGAUCGGCCACACUGGGACUGAGACACGGCCCAGACUCCUACGGGAGGCAGCAGUAGGGAAUCUUCCGCAAUGGGCGAAAGCCUGACGGAGCAACGCCGCGUGAGUGAUGAAGGUUUUCGGAUCGUAAAGCUCUGUUGC